rnacentral:misc_RNA from 1 species
ACGAGCUAGGGUCUCUCGCGGCCCGACCUCCCAACCCUUUGUCUACUUGACCACUGUUGCUUCGGCGAGCCCGUCUGUUAUGGACCGCCGGGGGGUUACCUUAAUCGGCCCUCUGGUCAGCGCUCGUCGAUAGCCAAAUUUUUUAAAAUCUUAACUAAACGUGCCUCAAUCUAAGUACUAUUUGUUAAAUAAAAGCA